ensembl:lncRNA
GGAUAUUUUUCAGAUAAUUGCACUUGGGAGAUCAUUGAACUUUUUGAUUGUGUGAUUUAGUGUUUCUCUUUAAAAUGAAAUUUGAGAGCAAGAAUAUGGAGUUGGGGAUAUCCUACUCAUCUCCUUCCAAAGAAACAAGCAUUUGGCAGCCUUUCACAGAAAAAAAGCACAGUUGUGAGUGCACUGGAAUUCAGGUCAGAGGUAGCAAACCUCAGGAUAGCCCAAGAAUGAAGACGGCUGCUUUAAAUACUUAUUAUAUUGGGUAAUGACAGAAGAAAGCCACUGUACUAGAAAGGGCGUAGCCCAGACUUGCUGUAAGAGGGUGAUUUAUGCACCAGACCAUAGGCUGACACUGAUGACCAAGGACACCUGGGGCUGAGCUGUACACCCAGGGAAGCAGGUAAGUGUCAGGGAAGGGUGUGUGUGAGAACACCAAGCUGGUUGUGCCCACAGGGAGGGGGACUUGCUAAUACAUUGUCAGGAACAUCACAAAGUGAGGUUGUACUUUUAUUUCUUUUGCAAUUACGUAUUGAGUGUGCACAGUACUGUAGGGGCUGGGAGGGGAUAAAAGAGCUGAAUGGCUUUCUCUAGAAUGGUGGCCUGUCUCCUGAGUAGUAACUUGCUGACCCUGCCCCUGAAGUGAAAAAGAGGGUGAAGGGCUACUUGCUCAAGCUUGUUCUCUUUUCUUACCUCUUCCCCCUCUGUGGUUUCCUCUGCCGCUGAACAGGGCCCAGGCAGCCUGCCAUGAGAUCGUGCUCCAAGGACCGGCCGUUCUGCUGGACCCACGGGCUCCUGGUAUUCAUCAGCCUGCUCCUCAGUGUCUGCAGCUCUGCAGCCAACACUUCCGGAGCGCAUGGCUCUGCUGUGAAGGAUUCUGAAAACCACAUUUAUCUGAAGCGCAUCCGAGGAGGUUCUGUCUUGUUUAAUGUGACCGAGAAGCCCAUGGCAGAUGCAGGAGCCAAAAUACAGGAGGUUUUAUGGGGUUUGGGCACUCCGUCAAAGUACAUGCGGCUGCUGCAAGUCCGUAGAGGAGCCGACUCUCCCACCUGGUUUAACCUCCAGGACAAGUUCAAGCAGAGGGUCCAUGUGCCCAGCCUGUGGUCUCUGAGGAUUGAGAACCUGGCCCCUGAAGACAGUGGGCCAUACGUGGCCAUGACCAGCUUAACUGAUGGACAAACGCUUGGUCACGUUUUCUACCUGACUGUCUAUGAGCCUGUGCCUCACCCUGAGAUCCUGGCCAUGUCACUGUCUAUCACACCAGGCCUGUGUAACAUCACUCUGGAGUGUAGGGUUCCAGGGGCCACCCAGGAUCUGAAUGUGACUUGGGAGAGCAAGGGCCUCUUCAGUGAGCUGGAACAGAGAGACACACCAGGAUCAACCGCCAAGCUUUGGACCCUGGCUGUGAGCCUGCCCCUGAGCCAGCAGAUCGGCGAUGUCACCUGUGUGGUCAGCAACCAGGUGGAUCAGAAAGCUGCGACCUUAGACCUUGGGAAAGUCUGUGCCCAAGGUUUACACAAACAGGAUGUGACUAGACUGCUGCCAGGCAUCCUAGGGGCUGCUGUGGCUGUGCUGUUAGUCCUGGGAAGUGGGCUGUAUGUUUUGAAGACAUGUCAGAAGAAGAAGAAGAUGGUGAUGGAAAUAAAAAGGAGUGGAGGAUUGCAGAAGAACCAUGGGGUUGAUGAUGGUGGCAUCCCCUUUGAGACGCUCAGCCAGCAAGUGCAAGGUGAGGGCAAGGACAAGGUGAGUGCCAGGGCACUGGCCACCCUGGGAACUCCCACGUCUCUCUGCCCAGCCUUGGGCUUCCAAUUCCAGGAGCUGUCACUUCUGGUCCAACUGCCUAUUUAUCUAUAUCUGGAUAAUCAACAGUAUUGA